rnacentral:rRNA from 1 species
CGCGUAGGCGGUCUUGUCAGUCAGAUGUGAAAGCCCGGGGCUCAACCCCGGAAGUGCAUUUGAAACUAUGAGACUUGAGUAUGGGAGAGGGAAGUGGAAUUCCUGGUGUAGAGGUGAAAUUCGUAGAUAUCAGGAGGAACACCGGUGGCGAAGGCGACUUCCUGGACCAAUACUGACGCUAAGGCGCGAAGGCGUGGGGAGCAAACA